GGGGUGGUGGUCUAGUGGUCAUGGGCGCUCUGUCUUGUAUCGUUAUCCGUAUACCUAAAACCUAUAACCUCUACCAAAAGACAGAGAGGUCGGUGGUUCGAAUCCAUCCCACUCCA
rnacentral:tRNA from 1 species